rnacentral:rRNA from 1 species
AAAUUGAAGAGUUUGAUCAUGGCUCAGAUUGAACGCUGGCGGCAGGCCUAACACAUGCAAGUCGAGCGGUAGCACAGGAGAGCUUGCUCUCUGGGUGACGAGCGGCGGACGGGUGAGUAAUGUCUGGGAAACUGCCUGAUGGAGGGGGAUAACUACUGGAAACGGUAGCUAAUACCGCAUAACCUCGCAAGAGCAAAGAGGGGGACCUUCGGGCCUCUCGCCAUCAGAUGUGCCCAGAUGGGAUUAGCUAGUAGGUGAGGUAAUGGCUCACCUAGGCGACGAUCCCUAGCUGGUCUGAGAGGAUGACCAGCCACACUGGAACUGAGACACGGUCCAGACUCCUACGGGAGGCAGCAGUGGGGAAUAUUGCACAAUGGGCGCAAGCCUGAUGCAGCCAUGCCGCGUGUGUGAAGAAGGCCUUCGGGUUGUAAAGCACUUUCAGCGGGGAGGAAGGCGGUAAGGUUAAUAACCUUAUCGAUUGACGUUACCCGCAGAAGAAGCACCGGCUAACUCCGUGCCAGCAGCCGCGGUAAUACGGAGGGUGCAAGCGUUAAUCGGAAUGACUGGGCGUAAAGCGCACGCAGGCGGUCUGUUAAGUUGGAUGUGAAAUCCCCGGGCUUAACCUGGGAACUGCAUUCAAAACUGACAGGCUAGAGUCUUGUAGAGGGGGGUAGAAUUCCAGGUGUAGCGGUGAAAUGCGUAGAGAUCUGGAGGAAUACCGGUGGCGAAGGCGGCCCCCUGGACAAAGACUGACGCUCAGGUGCGAAAGCGUGGGGAGCAAACAGGAUUAGAUACCCUGGUAGUCCACGCUGUAAACGAUGUCGAUUUGGAGGUUGUGCCCUUGAGGCGUGGCUUCCGGAGCUAACGCGUUAAAUCGACCGCCUGGGGAGUACGGCCGCAAGGUUAAAACUCAAAUGAAUUGACGGGGGCCCGCACAAGCGGUGGAGCAUGUGGUUUAAUUCGAUGCAACGCGAAGAACCUUACCUACUCUUGACAUCCAGAGAAUUUGCUAGAGAUAGCUUAGUGCCUUCGGGAACUCUGAGACAGGUGCUGCAUGGCUGUCGUCAGCUCGUGUUGUGAAAUGUUGGGUUAAGUCCCGCAACGAGCGCAACCCUUAUCCUUUGUUGCCAGCGAUUCGGUCGGGAACUCAAAGGAGACUGCCGGUGAUAAACCGGAGGAAGGUGGGGAUGACGUCAAGUCAUCAUGGCCCUUACGAGUAGGGCUACACACGUGCUACAAUGGCGUAUACAAAGAGAAGCGACCUCGCGAGAGCAAGCGGACCUCAUAAAGUACGUCGUAGUCCGGAUUGGAGUCUGCAACUCGACUCCAUGAAGUCGGAAUCGCUAGUAAUCGUAGAUCAGAAUGCUACGGUGAAUACGUUCCCGGGCCUUGUACACACCGCCCGUCACACCAUGGGAGUGGGUUGCAAAAGAAGUAGGUAGCUUAACCUUCGGGAGGGCGCUUACCACUUUGUGAUUCAUGACUGGGGUGAAGUCGUAACAAGGUAACCGUAGGGGAACCUGCGGUUGGAUCACCUCCUUA